AACGGGUCAGUUUCAUGCUGCUGUUGAGAAACAUCCCAAAGACUGUGUUGGUGUUUUAGUCUGUUUUCUACAUAAGGAGUGUUUCGUGAAAGACACGCCCAAACAGCACAAGACCAGAGCUUGGGAACCUCAAUCUGUUCCAGAAACCAGAGUUCCCACAUAACUACAUAAUGUGCUGCUAUCAGGUUACAGGCUCACCACAAUUGCCUAAUGUAACAUUGAGUUCGGGGCGCUGCCGCGGGGAGGUGUAAUUACCAGGGGGAUGGCUCAGGCCGAGUGGUUGCAGUGCUCAGGAAUUAAUGUGCACAACUUAUGGGCAGACCAGUGCUCCACCUCAAUCUUCAAACCCUUGGAUAUCCAGGAUUCAACUUCCCAAGGUCCUACCCUCCUCUCCAAGGGGGCAGUGGACGAUGAGCACGUGAAUCUGCAAAGUGUUUUACUGGAUGAUGUCUAUCCACCUCACAAGCUCUACAAUUCUGGAAGUGGCAUUUUACUUCGUUUGAAUUCAAAUCUCUCCACAUUCUUUCUAAGAAUAUACUGACUCCUUUAUGCAUGGAAAACUUGGUUUGGAGUAGGGAGAGGGUAGUUUCCCCAACAAAAAUAUUGGGCAAGUUACUAUGUAUGUAUUAAGUGAAGAGAGGUAAAGGGAUAGAGAAAAAAAAGAGUGGAAAAAGUAGAAUCUCUUUCUCUCUCUCUUUUCUCCCCUCCCGCCCCCCACUGGGCUCUCCCUGUCUCUUCUAUCAAUUUGCAAAAUUACUCAUUGGAAGCUGAACUAUGGAGGUUGGGCCACCUUAAUUGGGUUUCCAAAGAUUGAGUUGAAUUGUGUCUCUUGGUAGCAUAUAGCUUGUUACCAGGGAGGGCCCUUUAAAGAUUGUAAAAUGACAGUUUGUUUUCUCUGCUUUAUCAACCUGACCUCAUAGAUCCAUAAGUCUCCCCAAGCUGCAGGUUCAAAGCUGAGCUAAUGGUCAUGAUUCAUAUUUCAAGGGUACAUGUGUGUGAAGAGGGACCUUCCACCUCCCCCAG